rnacentral:rRNA from 1 species
AACGAACGCUGGCGGCAGGCUUAACACAUGCAAGUCGAACGCGUGUAGCAAUACACGAGUGGCGCACGGGUGAGUAACGCGUGGAUAUCUGCCUUUUGGUUCGGAAUAACCCCGGGAAAUGGGGCUAAUACCGGAUGGUUCCUUCGGGAUAAAGAUUUAUCGCCAAAAGAUGAGUCCGCGUCCGAUUAGCUAGUUGGUGAGGUAAUGGCUCACCAAGGCGACGAUCGGUAGCUGGUCGAGAGGACGAUCAGCCACACUGGGACUGAGACACGGCCCAGACUCCUACGGGAGGCAGCAGUGGGGAAUAUUGGACAAUGGGGGCAACCCUGAUCCAGCCAUGCCGCGUGAGUGA